AACGCUAGCUACAGGCUUAACACAUGCAAGUCGAGGGGCAGCAUGGUCUUAGCUUGCUAAGACUGAUGGCGACCGGCGCACGGGUGAGUAACACGUAUCCAACCUGCCGUCUACUCUUGGACAGCCUUCUGAAAGGAAGAUUAAUACAAGAUGGCAUCAUGAGUCCGCAUGUUCACAUGAUUAAAGGUAUUCCGGUAGACGAUGGGGAUGCGUUCCAUUAGAUAGUAGGCGGGGUAACGGCCCACCUAGUCUUCGAUGGAUAGGGGUUCUGAGAGGAAGGUCCCCCACAUUGGAACUGAGACACGGUCCAAACUCCUACGGGAGGCAGCAGUGAGGAAUAUUGGUCAAUGGGCGAGAGCCUGAACCAGCCAAGUAGCGUGAAGGAUGACUGCCCUAUGGGUUGUAAACUUCUUUUAUAAAGGAAUAAAGUCGGGUAUGCAUACCCGUUUGCAUGUACUUUAUGAAUAAGGAUCGGCUAACUCCGUGCCAGCAGCCGCGGUAAUACGGAGGAUCCGAGCGUUAUCCGGAUUUAUUGGGUUUAAAGGGAGCGUAGAUGGAUGUUUAAGUCAGUUGUGAAAGUUUGCGGCUCAACCGUAAAAUUGCAGUUGAUACUGGAUAUCUUGAGUGCAGUUGAGGCAGGCGGAAUUCGUGGUGUAGCGGUGAAAUGCUUAGAUAUCACGAAGAACUCCGAUUGCGAAGGCAGCCUGCUAAGCUGCAACUGACAUUGAGGCUCGAAAGUGUGGGUAUCAAACAGGAUUAGAUACCCUGGUAGUCCACACGGUAAACGAUGAAUACUCGCUGUUUGCGAUAUACUGCAAGCGGCCAAGCGAAAGCGUUAAGUAUUCCACCUGGGGAGUACGCCGGCAACGGUGAAACUCAAAGGAAUUGACGGGGGCCCGCACAAGCGGAGGAACAUGUGGUUUAAUUCGAUGAUACGCGAGGAACCUUACCCGGGCUUAAAUUGCAGAUGAAUUACGGUGAAAGCCGUAAGCCGCAAGGCAUCUGUGAAGGUGCUGCAUGGUUGUCGUCAGCUCGUGCCGUGAGGUGUCGGCUUAAGUGCCAUAACGAGCGCAACCCUUGUUGUCAGUUACUAACAGGUUCCGCUGAGGACUCUGACAAGACUGCCAUCGUAAGAUGUGAGGAAGGUGGGGAUGACGUCAAAUCAGCACGGCCCUUACGUCCGGGGCUACACACGUGUUACAAUGGGGGGUACAGAGGGCCGCUACCACGCGAGUGGAUGCCAAUCCCCAAAACCUCUCUCAGUUCGGACUGGAGUCUGCAACCCGACUCCACGAAGCUGGAUUCGCUAGUAAUCGCGCAUCAGCCACGGCGCGGUGAAUACGUUCCCGGGCCUUGUACACACCGCCCGUCAAGCCAUGGGAGCCGGGGGUACCUGAAGUGCGUAACCGCGAGGAGCGCCCUAGGGUAAAACUGGUGAC
rnacentral:rRNA from 1 species